UGGAUCAGUGGCGAACGGGUGAGUAACACGUGAGCAACCUGCCCCUGACUCUGGGAUAAGCGCUGGAAACGGCGUCUAAUACUGGAUACGAGACGUGACCGCAUGGUCAACGUUUGGAAAGAUUUUUCGGUUGGGGAUGGGCUCGCGGCCUAUCAGCUUGUUGGUGAGGUAAUGGCUCACCAAGGCGUCGACGGGUAGCCGGCCUGAGAGGGUGACCGGCCACACUGGGACUGAGACACGGCCCAGACUCCUACGGGAGGCAGCAGUGGGGAAUAUUGCACAAUGGGCGGAAGCCUGAUGCAGCAACGCCGCGUGAGGGAUGACGGCCUUCGGGUUGUAAACCUCUUUUAGCAGGGAAGAAGCGAAAGUGACGGUACCUGCAGAAAAAGCGCCGGCUAACUACGUGCCAGCAGCCGCGGUAAUACGUAGGGCGCAAGCGUUAUCCGGAAUUAUUGGGCGUAAAGAGCUCGUAGGCGGUUUGUCGCGUCUGCUGUGAAAUCUGGGGGCUCAACCCCCAGCCUGCAGUGGGUACGGGCAGACUAGAGUGCGGUAGGGGAGAUUGGAAUUCCUGGUGUAGCGGUGGAAUGCGCAGAUAUCAGGAGGAACACCGAUGGCGAAGGCAGAUCUCUGGGCCGUAACUGACGCUGAGGAGCGAAAGGGUGGGGAGCAAACAGGCUUAGAUACCCUGGUAGUCCACCCCGUAAACGUUGGGAACUAGUUGUGGGGUCCAUUCCACGGAUUCCGUGACGCAGCUAACGCAUUAAGUUCCCCGCCUGGGGAGUACGGCCGCAAGGCUAAAACUCAAAGGAAUUGACGGGGACCCGCACAAGCGGCGGAGCAUGCGGAUUAAUUCGAUGCAACGCGAAGAACCUUACCAAGGCUUGACAUAUACGAGAACGGGCCAGAAAUGGUCAACUCUUUGGACACUCGUAAACAGGUGGUGCAUGGUUGUCGUCAGCUCGUGUCGUGAGAUGUUGGGUUAAGUCCCGCAACGAGCGCAACCCUCGUUCUAUGUUGCCAGCACGUAAUGGUGGGAACUCAUGGGAUACUGCCGGGGUCAACUCGGAGGAAGGUGGGGAUGACGUCAAAUCAUCAUGCCCCUUAUGUCUUGGGCUUCACGCAUGCUACAAUGGCCGGUACAAAGGGCUGCAAUACCGCGAGGUGGAGCGAAUCCCAAAAAGCCGGUCCCAGUUCGGAUUGAGGUCUGCAACUCGACCUCAUGAAGUCGGAGUCGCUAGUAAUCGCAGAUCAGCAACGCUGCGGUGAAUACGUUCCCGGGUCUUGUACACACCGCCCGUCAAGUCAUGAAAGUCGGUAACACCUGAAGC
rnacentral:rRNA from 1 species